rnacentral:rRNA from 1 species
CCUACGGGUGGCAGCAGUCGGGAAUAUUGCGCAAUGGAGGAAACUCUGACGCUGUGACGCCGCGUAUAGGAAGAAGUUUUUCGGAAUGUAAACUAUUGUCGUUAGGGAAGAGAAAGGACAGUAUCUAAGCAGGAAGCUCCGGCUAACUCCGUGCCAGCAGCCGCGGUAAUACGUAGGGAGCGAGCGUUAUCCGGAAUUAUUGGGUGUAAAGGGUGCGUAGACGGGAAAGCAAGUUAGUUGUGAAAUCCCUCGGCUUAACUGAGGAACUGCAAGUAAAACUAUGUUUCUUGAGUGAAGGAGAGGGAAGUGGAAUUCCUGGUGUAGCGGUGAAAUGCGUAGAUGUUAGGAGGAACACCAGUGGCGAAGGCGACUUACUGGACUGUAACUGACGUUGAGGCACGAAAGUGUGGGGAGCAAACGGGAUUAGAUACCCCGGUAGUC